rnacentral:rRNA from 1 species
AGUGAACGCUGGCGGUAGGCCUAACACAUGCAAGUCGAACGGAAACACAGUGAGAGUUUGCUCCUACGGGUGGCGGGGGGCGGACGGGUGACAAAUACAUCGGAAUCUACUUUUUCGUGGGGGAUAACGUGGAGAAACUGACGCUAAUACCUCAUACGACCUACGGGUGAAAGCAGUGGAUCUUCGCACCUUGCCCGUUUCAAUGAGCCGGUGUCGCAUUAGCUAGUUGGCGGGGUAAGGGCCCACCAAGGCGACGAUCCGUAGCUGGCCUGAGAGGAUGAUCGGCCACACUGGAACUGAGACACGGUCCAGACUCCUACGGGAGGCAGCAGUAGGGAAUCUUGGGCAAUGGGCGAAAGCCUGACCCAGCCAUGCCGCGUGAGUGAAGAAGGUCUUCGGAUCGUAAAGCCCUUUUGUUGGGGAAGAAAAGCAGUAGGAUAAACCACCGACGUUUUGACGGUACCCAAAGAAUAAGCCCCGGCUAACUUCGUG